AUUGAACGCUGGCGGCAGGCCUAACACAUGCAAGUCGAACGAGUGGCGGACGGGUGCGUAAUGUCUGGGAAACUGCCUGAUGGCGGGGGAUAACUACUGUAAACGGUAGCUAAUACCGCAUACCAUUAGCUGUGCCCAGAUGGGAUUGGCUAGUAGGUGAGGUAACGGCUCACCUAGGCGACGAUCCCUAGCUGGUCUGCGAGGAUGACCAGCCACACUGGAACUGAGACACGGUCCAGACUCCUACGGGAGGAAGCAGUGGGGAAUAUUGCACAAUGGGCGCAAUCCUGAUGCAGCCAUGCCGCGUGUAUGAAGAAGGCCUUCGGGUUGUAAAGUACUUUCAGCGGGGAGGCGUUACCCGCAGAAGAAGCACCUGCUAACUCCGUGCCAGCAGCCGCGGUAAUUC
rnacentral:rRNA from 1 species